GAAGCCGGAGGAGGCUCCACGAUCUUUCAGGGUGAAGGAAGAGGGGCUGGUCCAGGCUAAUGGCAGCAGGAGAGGAGUUACAACUGGCACGAGAGGAGGAGAUGGAGGAGGAUGAAAUCGUCUCACCUGGCUCCCUAUCAGAGGUUUUCAAAUUCUAAAACCUGAGCUUCCAGACCUGAGCUUCCAGACAGAUGAGUCAACGAUGUGUCAACGUCAGAGAACCCCCACCACUUCUGGAUCCAGAUUCUGGGGCUGGACAAACUUAUUGCCGAGAUGAGCUGCUUCUACAGCAAAGGAACCCGGCAGAGAAACACAAUAUGUUUCUAUAGUGUUGAACUUUAGUGUUGAGCCCUAUGUGUGACGGCUCCAGGAGCAGCGAGUGGAGAUCUUCAUGGUGGGGGACAUUGCGGCUGCUCCGUACCCGGACUAUAGCACCUGGAACAGGGCGAGGCUCCUGGGGGUGAUGGGCUCUGGCUUGGUGGACCUCCACUAUGUCGACUUUGGAGACAAUAUUGAACAACCCAGGGACAGUCUACAAAGUAUGAGGAGUUACUUCCUCAGCCUACCAUUCCAGGUCAUCGAGUGCAGCUUAGCUGGAGUCAACCCAGCAGGCCGGUGUGGAGAGAAGAAGUCCUGGAUGACUUUGACCGCCUGACAUAUGUUGCCUAGUAGAGACCCCUGCUGGCCAAACUGUGCAGCUACACCCACUCUGGCUCAGUGUACUGUACAGCUCUACAACGCAGAGGGCAAGAUCAGUACUAACCUGGACUGGGGUGGGAAAUGGCACUGUAUGUCUCGCCUAUCUCUCUCUCUCUCUCUGGAAGAUGCCUUGUCAUUUGUCUCUUAUCGUGAUCUCCCCCUUUGUGUGUGACUGGUCUCUCGUUCUCUCCCUGUCGGAUUGUGGAUCUAGGAGAGGAGCUGGUGAGUCUUGGCCAUGCUGUGCCUAGCCAGGAUAAUUGGAACGGUAAGGGCGACAGGGACGACCCCGGAUCACCACAGAGGAUGUUGGUAAGAGCACAAGGCAGAGGAGAGGGAAAAUAAAUUAGAGCGAUUUAGAGAUGCAAAGUAUGUAACUAUAUCCGGGUUUCCGUUAGCUGGUAAUAGACGGCUUUUGAAUUAUAUAUUUUGUUUGUUGAAAAAACAACAAAUAAAAUUAGGUUUGUGCAGAUUUAUACAAUAUUACGACGUUCAGAAUGAGACUGAUAUGAGGUAAUAAUAAUUAAUGGAUGACUAAUGCGAUAACGAUAUGUUCUGAUAUUCUUGAGUUUAUUUUGGGAAACGGUAACUCAUUAAACAAACUUUUUCUGUGGCGCCCCAAGAUUGCUAAGGAGUUAAUUGUUACAUGAUUAAUUUAACCAUCGUAUUAAUUAAACAUAGUUAAUUGAUUUGAUAAAAUAAUCGCCAUCACAUUAAUGAUAUUCACAUUAUGUACAAAAUAAGUUGCAGAUAACGCGAAAAAACAUACACAAUAGCACAUUUGGUUACAGGAUCGUAAAACGGCAGCCAUCUCAAUCGGCGCCAAAAUCAGACCAUAUACGUGGAGGCAAUUAUUUUAUAUAAACUUUCUUUCAUUUUCCAGUAGCCAAACUCACAAUCCUAGUCAUAUUAGCAACCCAUGCGAGUUACUGAAUAUUAGGUCUCCCCUCUUUCAAAUUUCUGAAAGGACAUUUUCAUCUUGGUCACAUGAUAUCCGUCACAUUAAACCGCUCACAUGAACGGUGUGCUUUUGAAAGUGGUAUUCUCCUGCUAAUUGAAUUAUUGUGCGCGUUGCUGCCCUUAUAAUGUCAUGAAAUAAUACACUGAACAAGAAUAUAAACACAACAUGCAACUAUUUCUAAUAUUUUUAUGAGUUACAGUUCAUAUAAGGAAAUCCGUCGGUUGAAAUAUAUUCAUUAGCCCCUAGUCUAUGGAUUUCAUAUUAAUACAGAUAUGCUUCUGUUGGCCACAGAUACCUUAAAAAAAGGUUGGGGCGUGGAUCAGAAAACCAGUCAGUAUCUGGUGUGACCACCAUUUGCCUCAUGCAGCGCGACACAUCUCCUUCGCAUAGAGUUGAUCAGGCUG